rnacentral:rRNA from 1 species
GACAGAGGCCUCAAGCGUUAGGCGGAAUCACUGGGCUUAAAGCGUGUGUAGGCGGAUCGUUAAGUGCCUUGUGAAAUCCCACUGCUUAACUGUGGAACGGCUGGGCAUACUGGCGGUCUUGAGCCAUCUAGGGGCGACUGGAACAAACGGUGGAGCGGUGAAAUGCGUAGAUAUCGUUUGGAACGCCAAUGGUGAAAACAGGUCGCUGGGGAUGAGCUGACGCUGAGACACGAAAGCCAGGGGAGCAAACGGG